AUUACUUUGGCAGAAAAGUGCAAUAAAUUUAGAAUUUAUGAAUGUAUAAUGAUAAAUACAGGUAAUA
rnacentral:tRNA from 1 species